rnacentral:rRNA from 1 species
UACGUAGGUGGCAAGCGUUGUCCGGAAUUACUGGGCGUAAAGCGCGCGCAGGCGGCCUUUUAAGUCUGAUGUGAAAGCCCACGGCUCAACCGUGGAAGGUCAUUGGAAACUGAAAGGCUUGAGUACAGAAGAGGAAAGCGGAAUUCCACGUGUAGCGGUGAAAUGCGUAGAUAUCCGGAGGAACACCGGUGGCGAAGGCGGCUUCCUGGACCGACACUGACGCUGAGGCGCGAAAGCUAGGGGAGCAAACGGG